AUUGAACGCUGGCGGCAGGCCUAACACAUGCAAGUCGAGCGGCAGCGGAAAGUAGCUUGCUACUUCGCCGGCGAGCGGCGGACGGGUGAGUAAUGUCUGGGAAACUGCCUGAUGGAGGGGGAUAACUACUGGAAACGGUAGCUAAUACCGCAUAACGUCGCAAGACCAAAGAGGGGGACCUUCGGGCCUCUUGCCAUCAGAUGUGCCCAGAUGGGAUUAGCUAGUAGGUUGGGUAAUGGCUCACCUAGGCGACGAUCCCUAGCUGGUCUGAGAGGAUGACCAGCCACACUGGAACUGAGACACGGUCCAGACUCCUACGGGAGGCAGCAGUGGGGAAUAUUGCACAAUGGGCGCAAGCCUGAUGCAGCCAUGCCGCGUGUAUGAAGAAGGCCUUCGGGUUGUAAAGUACUUUCAGCGGGGAGGAAGGCGUUGAGGUUAAUAACCUCAGCGAUUGACGUUACCCGCAGAAGAAGCACCGGCUAACUCCGUGCCAGCAGCCGCCGCGGUAA
rnacentral:rRNA from 1 species